rnacentral:rRNA from 2 species
CGAAGGGUGCAAGCGUUACUCGGAAUUACUGGGCGUAAAGCGUGCGUAGGUGGUUCGUUAAGUCUGAUGUGAAAGCCCUGGGCUCAACCUGGGAAUGGCAUUGGAUACUGGCGACCUAGAGUGCGGUAGAGGGGUGUGGAAUUCCCGGUGUAGCAGUGAAAUGCGUAGAUAUCGGGAGGAACAUCUGUGGCGAAGGCGACACCCUGGACCAGCACUGACACUGAGGCACGAAAGCGUGGGGAGCAAACAGGAUUAGAUACCCUGGUAGUCCACGCCCUAAACGAUGCGAACUGGAAGUUGGGGGCAACUUGGCCCUCAGUUUCGAAGCUAACGCGUUAAGUUCGCCGCCUGGGAAGUACGGUCGCAAGACUG